rnacentral:rRNA from 1 species
UACGUAGGUGACAAGCGUUAUCCGGAAUUACUGGGCGUAAAGCGCACGCAGGCGGCUGCGUAAGUCUGACGUGAAAUCUCCCGGCUUAACCGGGAGCGGUCGUUGGAAACUAUGCGGCUUGAGGCGAUGAGAGGGGUGUGGAAUUCCCGGUGUAGUGGUGGAAUGCGUAGAUAUCGAGAGGAACACCUGCGGCGAAGGCGGGUUGCUGGGCUGAUACUGACGCUGAUGCGCGAAAGCCAGGGGAGCGAACGGG